ensembl:lncRNA
UUGUUAAACAGAUUAUUGAGGCCCAGCCCCCAGAAUUUCUGGUAGUAAGUCGUCUCUGGGGCCUGAGAAUUUAAUUUCUGACAGGGUUUCAGGUGGUGCAGAUGCUGAUCUGGAUUCAUAACUUUGAGAACCACUGCCUUUAGCCAAACUUUGUGACAUACACAUUGCAGAGAUUUGGGGAUCUGAAGACCUUGUCUUAGUCUGCAGUGGAAAUCUUCCUCCUCAGAUUCUUCUGGUUCCACAGGCAGGGUGCUAUCCUUCCUCAUUUAUUCUAUGCAAGGGGACCUUGGACAAAGCAGAAAAAAGCCACCUAGACCCAGAGCAGAGAGAGCCUGACAGGUUGUCAAAGUGAAUGCAGAACAAGCAACAGGAAUCUCAACUUGUGAUUUCUGCUGGGCAUUUAAAACUGCCCAGCAGAUUCUACCUGACACUCUUGUGUUCUCUUUAGAGAUCAAAGCCAUCUGAGAGCAGCAAAGCCCUCUGUUAGUGUAUACAUUGUAGGAUCCAUAGUAUGGAAUCUCCUCAACUUCAUGCUACAUGAAAACAGUGAGGGUUUCUAGUCUGGUUCAUGGGGCAUUGGUUCUUGGAGUUUUAAGAUAAUAGAUGUCCUUUUAUUAAGGCAGAAGACCCUAUAUAUUAAUUCAGUUAUCUCCGCCUACCUUGCAGGCAUAGAAUAUGGGUGGAAAGGGAAGAUGUUGGGGAAGCUUUGUCUGCAUAAAUAAUCAGUACUAUAGGGCCAGGGAUUUAGCUCAGUGUUUUCACCUCCUGCUGCGCAAGCACAAGGACCCAAGUUUGAUCCCCAGUACCAAAAAAAAAAAAAAA